CUUGACAUACCGAUGACAGGUCUAGAGAUAGAUUUUCCCUUUUAGGGCAUCGGAUACAGGUGGUGCAUGGUUGUCGUCAGCUCGUGUCGUGAGAUGUUGGGUUAAGUCCCGCAACGAGCGCAACCCCUAUUGUUAGUUGCCAUCAUUAAGUUGGGCACUCUAGCGAGACUGCCAGUAAUAAACUGGAGGAAGGUGGGGAUGACGUCAAAUCAUCAUGCCCCUUAUGACCUGGGCUACACACGUGCUACAAUGGGAAGUACAACGAGUUGCGAGGCGGUGACGCCAAGCUAAUCUCUUAAAGCUUCUCUCAGUUCGGAUUGUAGGCUGCAACUCGCCUACAUGAAGUCGGAAUCGCUAGUAAUCGCGGAUCAGCACGCCGCGGUGAAUACGUUCCCGGGCCUUGUACACACCGCCCGUCACACCACGAGAGUUUGUAACACCCGAAGUCGGUGAGGUAACCGUAAGGAGCCAACCGCCUAAGGUGGGAUAGAUGAUUGGGGUGAAGUCGUAACAAGGUAAGCGUAGAUGA
rnacentral:rRNA from 1 species